ACACUUCAGUGAUGAGUGUUUCAAAGUAUUCACAGUGAGCUCCAAAGAGUUUCUGAAAAGAAAAUAUCUACAGCGAGAUGAAACUGAAAUACCCAAACUGCAGGAAUUUCUGCAAGAGCUCAAUGACUGUCACUCAGUGACAUUAAACUAUGUGUCUGGAGCUUAUGGGAUUCUCUCUCUGAUUCAAGGGGCGAGAUGCAGGGAAGUGGCUGGAAAAAAGAAAGAGGUGUGCACAGAACUUGAAGAAAAC